rnacentral:misc_RNA from 1 species
UGGUUAGGCCAUCGAUGAAGAACGCAGCGAAAUGCGAUAAGUAAUGUGAAUUGCAGAAUUUAGUGAAUCAUCGAAUCUUUGAACGCAUAUUGCGCUCCCUGGUAUUCCGGGGAGCAUGCCUGUUCGAGCGUCAUUGCAACCCUCACGCACUGCGUGGUCUUGGGCUCGCCCAGCAGGGCCUGCCUUAAAAUUAGUGGCGGCUUCUCCAGAACCCCCUCAGCGCAGUAUUGCUACCCGCUGCAGGAGGCCUGGAGCAGCUUGCUAAGCACCCCCCACACUCUAAAGGUUGACCUCGAAUCAGGUAGGGAUACCCGCUGA